rnacentral:rRNA from 1 species
AGAGUUUGAUCAUGGCUCAGGGUGAACGCUGGCGGCGCGCCUAAUGCAUGCAAGUCGAGCGUGCCCUGGUAGCUUCGGCCAUCAGGGAAAGCGGCAGACGGCUGAGUAACGCGUGAGUAACCUACCCUCUGGUGGGGUAUAGCCGCGAGAAAUCGCGGUUAAUCCCGCAUAAGAUCUCCAGGCCUUGGUUUGGAGAUGAAAGCCUUCGGGCGCCGGAGGAGGGGCUCGCGUCCUAUCAGGUAGUUGGUGAGGUAACGGCCCACCAAGCCGAUGACGGGUAGCUGGUCUUAGAGGACGACCAGCCAGAGGGGGACUGAGACACGGCCCCCACUCCUACGGGAGGCAGCAGUGGGGAAUCUUGCGCAAUGGCCGAAAGGCUGACGCAGCGACGCCGCGUGCGGGAUGAAGCUUUUCGGAGUGUAAACUCCUGUCAGGGGGGACGAAGGUCCGUCGGUGAAUAAUCGACGGGCUUGACGGUACCUCCAGAGGAAGCCCCGGCUAACUCCGUGCCAGCAGCCGCGGUAAUACGGAGGGGGCGAGCGUUAUUCGGAAUUAUUGGGCGUAAAGGGCGCGUAGGCGGCCCGGUAAGUCAAAGGUGAAAUCCCUCGGCUCAACUGAGGAAUUGCCUUUGAAACUGCCAGGCUCGAGGCCGGGAGGGGGUAGCGGAAUUCCCAGUGUAGCGGUGAAAUGCGUAGAUACUGGGAGGAACACCAGUGGCGAAGGCGGCUACCUGGACCGGUUCUGACGCUGAGGCGCGAAAGCGUGGGGAGCAAACAGGAUUAGAUACCCCGGUAGUCC